GAGGAAUAUUGGUCAAUGGGCGAGAGCCUGAACCAGCCAAGUAGCGUGCAGGAUGACGGCCCUAUGGGUUGUAAACUGCUUUUGUAUGGGGAUAAAGUCAAUCGCGUGUGAUUGUUUGCAGGUACCAUACGAAUAAGGACCGGCUAAUUCCGUGCCAGCAGCCGCGGUAAUACGGAAGGUCCGGGCGUUAUCCGGAUUUAUUGGGUUUAAAGGGAGCGUAGGCUGGAGAUUAAGUGUGUUGUGAAAUGUAGACGCUCAACGUCUGACUUGCAGCGCAUACUGGUUUCCUUGAGUACGCACAACGUUGGCGGAAUUCGUCGUGUAGCGGUGAAAUGCUUAGAUAUGACGAAGAACUCCGAUUGCGAAGGCAGCUGACGGGAGCGCAACUGACGCUGAAGCUCGAAGGUGCGGGUAUCGAACAGGAUUAGAUACCCUGGUAGUCCGCACAGUAAACGAUGGAUGCCCGCUGUUGGUACUUGGUAUCAGCGGCUAAGCGAAAGCAUUAAGCAUCCCACCUGGGGAGUACGCCGGCAACGGUG
rnacentral:rRNA from 1 species